GCCCCACCUUUUUGUUGGAACAAAAUUGCAAGAAAGCGCAUUAACUCUUUUCAAAUAAAGUGAAUUUAUGUAUAAUUUGUUGAUACUUGGGUGCCACAUUGAUCUGUAUGUGACCGAUGUUGAUUUAAAAUUUCAGGUAGACAACCUUUUAGAUUCUGCUAAUCAUUACAAAGCUGACAUUUAGUUACUACUUAGAGGUUUUGUUCUCAGUACUUCAACAAUCUCGGACGAUGUGGAUGCAGACACUGAAGACGAGAAGUACGGCGGUCGAGUGACUAACGGAAACGACGACGUAUCCGGAACGUUUGCAAUCACUGACUUUUCUGAACUCGAUGAGUAAAAUCGAUGAUGAUUAUAACGAGACGAGUAACAUUUACGUAAAAUUUUAGCAUGGACAGUGCCAAAAUCACUAUUGAUGGUACGCUAUAACUUAAAGUUAAAACUACUUCUUUCACUAUGAACCUAUUUGAUGCUGCCUUGCUUGCUGCAGCUGCUGCCUUCUCCCAUUGUAAGUGUUUAGAUAUUGCGGCAUUUCUCGAUCAACUUUUAGGUCAAACAGUGGUCAUUUUACAACUGAAUUUAUAAAAGUAUCAUCAUUUUAAUUUUCUAUAUUGUUGAAUAUUGCUUGAGGCUUUAUAUCGUUGCUGAAGUCAAUUUUGAGGUUAAUAUUUAUUAAAUACCAGUUUUGUACACUGAAGUGCAUGUAAUAUACUCAAAGCCCAAGAAGGUUGUAUGAUUUCAAUAUUUUUACAAUCUUUUUAAUUUUGCUUUGUAGAAGAAAAAUUAUGGGAAUGAUUUACCAUCUUAAACUUUGGCUUGUAGAUCUUCCUAACGGGCACUUGGCAUUAAUCUACGAGAGUAAGGGAAUAUUUUGUAUAAAUGCCAAAAACAACAAAGAGGAACAGGUGCGAACCCAGCUGAACCGAGUCACGGUACCUGAAGACAUCGAGGAUCUAUAAAUGCGGGCGACUCUGCUUAGCAAAGAGGAAUAGGCGGAGGGCAUAUUUUGCAACUCUGCUUAGCUAGCGAAAAAAGAAGACAUUAAUGGAUUACUUGUGGGUGGUGCUUCAUUAAAGGUAUUACUAUCUUAUCUUCUUUUUUUUAGUUCAUGGCCUAACGAUUCAUGUUUAUUGUAUGAACUAUGAAUACAUUAUGUUUAUGGUUCGCCGGGCCGGAGAAAUCAAGGUCAACCGAGAUUUCCAUGCUUCACCGGCCGAAGAAAACAAUCUCGCUUCACCGGCGUCUAUUCAUAUGUCGCUUCACCGGCGUCUUCGGUUCAGAUAUCACUUACCGAGCCUUCAAUUCAAUAUGUCGGUUCAACUUUGCAUCCUUUUACCCUUCUAUUUACGAGCGGUUGAAUCGCCCCAUCCGUUUGAAUUGAAGCCUACUUUAAGCCUCGAACUCAAAGCACACCUUUCCGACCACAUUUCUUAUGGGCUUUGAUUGACUACUGGUGACAGCUAGGAUCAUAGAUUCAAGAUUACAUGUUCUACACCCAGUUUGCUUCCAAUUCGUACCACUCGCGAUUAAGUCCAUGUGUGGUCAUGGUUACCUUAGAUGUUACGCUUGAUGUAUUUUGCUACUCUGGCUUCAAGAUGGGUAUACAUUUCAAAGCGGACUAGACUCACUUUAUUAGUACCAGAGAUGGACAAGAGAUUUAUACUCAGAUUUUAACGAGAAUUCACAAGUUGGGGAGUUGUUCAAAGGCAUUUGUCGUCUUUUAUACGAGCAGGUCUGUGCUUCCCAACAACUUCAAGGUGGUGCUUGCUUCGUACAUCAAGUCUCUCUCUCUCUCUAAUUAUAUGUGUGUUUGGAUUUAGGCGUAAUGUGACAAUCUUGAUGAAAUUUGGCAUUGUAGAUGAUCGCAAUGAUGUUUGUAUUGUUAUUGUGUAAUUAGUUCACAAGUCUACCUACAACUUCACAGCCUGUGAUUAAGAUUA